rnacentral:rRNA from 1 species
GACGAACGCUGGCGGCGUGCUUAACACAUGCAAGUCGAACGGAAAGGCCCUGCUUUUGUGGGGUGCUCGAGUGGCGAACGGGUGAGUAACACGUGAGUAACCUGCCCUUGACUUUGGGAUAACUUCAGGAAACUGGGGCUAAUACCGGAUAGGAUCUCCUGCUGCAUGGUGUUGAUUGGAAAGUUUCGGCGGCUGGGGAUGGACUCGCGGCUUAUCAGCUUGUUUGUGGGGUAGUGGCUUACCAAGGCUUUGACGGGUAGCCGGCCUGAGAGGGUGACCGGCCACAUUGGGACUGAGAUACGGCCCAGACUCCUACGGGAGGCAGCAGUGGGGAAUAUUGCACAAUGGGCGGAAGCCUGAUGCAGCAACGCCGCGUGCGGGAUGACGGCCUUCGGGUUGUAAACCGCUUUCGCCUGUGACGAAGCGUGCGUGACGGUAAUGGGUAAAGAAGCACCGGCUAACUACGUG